rnacentral:rRNA from 1 species
GAUGAACGUUAGCGGGAGGCUUAAUACAUGCAAGUCGAGCGGUAAGUUUUUAUAGCAAUAUGAAGACCUAGAGCGGCGCACGGGUGAGUAACGCGUACACGACCCUGGCCUAAACUGGGGGAUAGCCUUGGGAAACUGAGAGUAAUCCCGCAUGUGAUUAUGUUACUGAUGGUGAUAUAAUUAAAGCUUCGGCGGUUUAGGAUGGGUGUGCGUCUGAUUAGCUAGUUGGUAGUGUAACGGACUACCAAGGCGAUGAUCAGUAGGGGCGUGAGAGCGUGGCCCCCCACACGGGUACUGAGACACGGACCCGACUCCUACGGGAGGCAGCAGUAAGGAAUAUUGGUCAAUGCCCGGAAGGGUGAACCAGCCAUCCCGCGUGAAGGAUGAAGGGGCUCUGCCUUGUAAACUUCUUUUGUAUGGGGCGAAAAAGGGGAUUUAUCCUCGACUGACGGUACCAUAAGAAUAAGCACCGGCUAACUCCGUG